rnacentral:lncRNA from 1 species
ACCUGCCGCGCGGUCGCAACUCUGUCUCAUCGUCUGGUUCCGGACCCCGAGGCUCCUGCUCUCCCGCGGCUGCCGGCAGCGCCUCAGCGUCCUCCACAGUCACCUCGGCCGCAGCCACGGCGCCCGCCGCCGGUACUCGCGUCGCUGAGGUGGGAGCAGCGGCCGCCCCGAGGCCGAACGCCGCCUCCGCCGUCGGCGCUGGGAGGCCACGGGCGCGCCCCGCGGCCACCGUCCUUGCCGCGAGCCCCAGCAGCAGCAGCAGCAGCAGCAGCGCCCGUACCAGCAGCCCCGGGCUGAUGGCGCGCUCCAUCAGCGUCCCGCCCCGCGCGCAGGCAUGGAGGCGCAGCCACUGACGCCUGCCUCUCCCGCCGCUUGGAGCUCCCAAGAAGGCAAGGACGUGCUAGGGACCCUACUGCCGCCCCGACGGCCUGGACAGCCAGCCGUGUUCCCCUGGCCACGUCUCAGCCCGGCCUCUGCCGCUGCCACCUGAGUGACAGCCUAUCUCGGACAUCGCCCAUUGAGCAAACUUUCCGCGCGUUUGCUCUCUCAUUGGCUGCGGCCGCUGCCACUCCAUGUUCCCAGGCUGGCCUUGUUGGGGAAGGUGGACUUUCCCUGGUGGUCAACAUCGCACCUACCAAUCAAAUCGUAAUUUCGUCGUUCGAGGCCCGUCCCUCUUCCGGACGCAAUUACCAAUGAGAAAUGCCCUUCCCCGACGUCUUUUUACCUGAUUGGUGCGCUCAUCAGUUCCCGGAAUACCUUUCCUACAACAGAUUGGCCAUCGCGGUGGUUGGCCUCGCCCCACAAAGCGAGGCGCUGGAGAAGACUUGAAGAUCAUUGGUGGAAGUGGAUGUCCCUCAAAGGUCUGCGCUAACUGCCUCUUGAUUGGUUGGAAGCGGCACUUACUACGUGGCGGAUUCUGACUGUGAAGAGGACUGUCCCAAGUGAAGAGUGGGAGGCAAGUGCCUUGUGACCGGGAGGAGGUCGACCUUAAAGGAGCUGGUAUUGUAGCUCUUCUAAAGCCUAGUCUACUUAGGAAGGCAAAAGCGAAGCAGCAAGAAGUGGCCACAGAAGCCGUGUGGUCCCUAGAAGUAGAAGGGUAAGGAGGAUGCAGGAGAUGGUCCUACUUGUGGCCGCAACGGGGCUCAGAAGUCCGCUUGUUAGAGAUGGCAGUGACCUGUGACAAUCCAGUCUGCCCGACACGCCUCCCGCCUCCUUAGGAACGGGAAGGAGCCCCGGCCCAGUGCACUGACGUAGUUAGCCUAAGAUCACGUAGCUGGUUGGUCACAGAAUCAUGACUUUAAUUCAUGUCUUCUGACUCUGACCUGGCACGCUUUGUACCUCACCAAAGACAGUGAUGAAAUUGCAAAAGGGCAGAGUGGAGAAGACUGGAAUGUUCAGCCAAGGCAUUUGAACUUUUAAUGCUGCAAGUCAAGACUUCCUGAAGAUUUUUGAGCAGAUGAGUGAAGUGAUAAGAAAAUGCAUCUUCAGCAGUGACAGCAUCAACGAGGAGGAGACUGGCCGGGAGGCUAUUACCCGCAUCAAAACCAGUGAACAUUAAAAAAAAUUUUUUUUUUAGAGAGAGGGUCUUGCUCUUUUGCCCAGGCUGGAGUGCAGUGGCUUGACCAUAGUUCUCUAUAACCUUGAAUUCCUGCGUUCAAGCGAUCUUCCUUCCUCAGCUUCCGGAGUAGCUGGGACUACAGAUGCGUGCCACCAUGCCAGGCCAAUUUUUAAUUUUGUUUUGUAAAGAUGGGGUUUCUGUGUUGCCCAGGUAGGACAAAGAGGAAUGACAAAAGGCAUGUAACCACCUGAAUUUGCCCCUAUCAAAGAGCUCUCCAGGAAGCACCACCAAGGAAUUUUCACUGACAUUUCCCAGGCCAGACCAUGCUGCUGCUAAGCAAAAUGAGGAUUCUGCUAGUGAGGAUGAAAGGAAGAAUGUGUAAUCAGUUUUCUUGAAGUAUAAUACAUGUACAAUAAACUGAACCUAUUGGAAAUAUACAUUUGGAUGAGUUUUGACAGAUGUAUAUACCACAGUCAAGAUACAGAACAUUCCCAUCACUCCAAGAGAUUCUUUGUGUCCCUUUGUGGUCAAUCCCUCCUACACGAGGCCCCUAGGUAACCGCUGAUCUGUUUUCCAUCACAAUAGAUUAGUCUGCAUAUUCUAGCAUCUUUAAUAAAUGCAGUCAUACAGUAUGUACUUUUGUGUCUUACUUUUUUCACUCCAUAUAAUGUUUUUAAAUUUAUUCAUGUUGUUGAAUGUAGCAAUACUUAGUUCCUUUUUACUGCUGAGUAGUACUCUGCUUUAUAUGUUCCAUGUUUCUUUAUCCAUUUACUUGUUGGAGUACAUUUGGUAUAUUUUCAAUUUUUGGCGAUUACACAUAAAGCUACUAUGAGAACAUUUAUGUACGUACAGGUCUUUUUGUAGAUGUAGGUUUUUAUUUCUCUUGGGUAAAUACCUAGAUGUGGAAUAACUCGCUCAUAUAGUAGAUGGAUGUUUAACUUUAUAAGAAUCUGCCAAGCAUUUUCACAAAGUGAUGUACCAUUUUAUACCCCCACCAGUGGUGCACGAGAGUUCAAGUUGUUCUAUAUCCUCACCAACAUUUGGUAAUUGUCUUUUUAAUUCUAACUAUUCUAGUAGGUAUGUGAUGCCAUUUCAUUGUAGCUUUGGUUUGCAUAUCCCUGACGACUAGUGAUUUUGAACAUCUUUUAAUGUGCUUGUUGGACAUUAUAUAUCAUCUUUUGUAAAAUGUCUAUUAAAAGUGUUUAUAAAGAGAGAAAUGUUUAUGGGUAGGCACUCUUGAAGAGUUUGCCACACAGUGAAAUUUGUUGUGUUGUACCAGUUAGCUAUUGGCAUAGCAAUGCUGUGUAAGCAACCAUCCCAAAAUUCAGUGGCUUUAAACAGCAAAAAUGUAUACUCUGACACCCUUCACCUGGAGUUGCCUGAUCUAGCUAGAGCACGAUUUUCUUAUGGCAAUGGAAGAAACACAAUUAAGAUGGGUGGAAACUUACAUGGCCUCUUAAAACUAGUAUCAGAACUGGAGCACUUAUUAUUGGAGCAGGAUGGACUAAAGCAAGGCAUAUGACUAGGCCUAACAUCAAAGAGGCAGGACAACAUGCCCUGCCUCUAGUGAAAGAAACUGCAAAGUCAUGUGACAGAGGGCAUGGAACUAAAAUGUAAUUGUAGCAAGGAAUUAGCUCAUCAAUGUUUCUUAAAGUGUGGCCCUGGACUGACUUCAUCAGAAGUUCAAGGAAUGGGGUCCAGGAAUCUGCAGAUUUUCCUUUUUUUUUUUUUUUUUUUUGAGAUGGAGUUUCGCUCUUGUUGCCCCGGCUGGAGUGCAAUGGUGCAAUCUUGGCUCACUGCAACUUCCAUCUCCCGGGUUCAAGCUAUUCCCCUGCCUCAGCCUCCUGAGUAGCUGGGAUUACAGGAAGGCGCCAUCAUACCCGGCUAAUUUUGUAUUUUUAGUAGAGACAGUUUCUCCACGUUGGUCAGGCUGGUCUCGAACUCCCAACCUUAGGUGAUCCACCCACCUCAGCCUCCCAGAGUGCUGG